GAUGAACGCUGGCGGCGUGCUUAACACAUGCAAGUCGAACGGGAUCCACCGGGCUUUGCUUGGUGGUGAGAGUGGCGAACGGGUGAGUAAUGCGUGACCGACCUGCCCCAUACACCGGAAUAGCUCCUGGAAACGGGUGGUAAUGCCGGAUGCUCCAGUUGAUCGCAUGGUCUUCUGGGAAAGCUUUCGCGGUAUGGGAUGGGGUCGCGUCCUAUCAGCUUGACGGCGGGGUAACGGCCCACCGUGGCUUCGACGGGUAGCCGGCCUGAGAGGGCGACCGGCCACAUUGGGACUGAGAUACGGCCCAGACUCCUACGGGAGGCAGCAGUGGGGAAUAUUGCACAAUGGGCGCAAGCCUGAUGCAGCGACGCCGCGUGAGGGAUGGAGGCCUUCGGGUUGUAAACCUCUUUUAUCGGGGAGCAAGCGAGAGUGAGUUUACCCGUUGAAUAAGCACCGGCUAACUACGUGCCAGCACCCGCGGUAAUACGUAGGGUGCAAGCGUUAUCCGGAAUUAUUGGGCGUAAAGGGCUCGUAGGCGGUUCGUCGCGUCUGGUGUGAAAGUCCAUCGCUUAACGGUGGAUCCGCGCCGGGUACGGGCGGGCUUGAGUGCGGUAGGGGAGACUGGAAUUCCCGGUGUAACGGUGGAAUGUGUAGAUAUCGGGAAGAACACCAAUGGCGAAGGCAGGUCUUUGGGCCGUUACUGACGCUGAGGAGCGAAAGCGUGGGGAGCGAACAGGAUUAGAUACCCUGGUAGUCCACGCCGUAAACGGGG
rnacentral:rRNA from 1 species